rnacentral:misc_RNA from 1 species
AUUUUAGGCUUGUCAGAUCCGGCUGACUUGAUCUUUGUGUAAAGAUCUGGGUGCAGAUCAAGAUAUGAUUUCCGAAUUCCUUGCACUGGGCACACCCUAGUCCGUCCAUUACGCAAUUCUUUUUCCUUUAUAAUUGGCUUAUGGCUAUGUACAUCUACCAAGAGUUUGGUAUACUCCUUUUGGUCAUAAGGCUUUUUGAGAAUUUCUGUAACCCUCUCCAUAAACCAAUAGCAAUGAUUUCUAGAAGAAUCCUUAAUGUCCUCGAUGGCAUCUACAUCCAUUGCGACUACUUGUUUUGAAAUC